rnacentral:rRNA from 1 species
GACGAACGCUGGCGGCGUGCUUAACACAUGCAAGUCGAGCGGUAAGGCCCUUUCGGGGGUACACGAGCGGCGAACGGGUGAGUAACACGUGGGUGACCUGCCCUUAGCUCUGGGAUAAGCCUGGGAAACUGAGUCUAAUACCGGAUAUGACUCCAUGACGCAUGUUGUGGGGUGGAAAGCCUUGUGCGGCUAGGGAUGGGCCCGCGGCCUAUCAGCUUGUUGGUGGGGUGAUGGCCACCAAGGCGACGACGGGUAGCCGGCCUGAGAGGGCGACCGGCCACACUGGGACUGAGACACGGCCCAGACUCCUACGGGAGGCAGCAGUGGGGAAUCUUGCGCAAUGGGCGAAAGCCUGACGCAGCGACGCCGCGUGAGGGAUGACGGCCU